rnacentral:lncRNA from 1 species
GGGGCCCGCCCAGCGCGCGCUUAUCGCCGCUGCCCAGGCGCCGCGCCCCCCGCCCCGCCUCCCCGCGCCCCGGGGUCUCGAGUCCCCGCCGCCGCCGCGGGCUUCGGGGCGCAGGGCGGCCUGGAGGCCGAGAUAAUAAACAGCCGCCAGGACAACAGUACGUUCGCGUGCGGACGACGCGGAUCAGCCGUCCGCGGCCGCAGGUUAACCUAACCUACCAGGGACAACGGACAGCGUGUAUACUUGGGAGUGGAGAAUUUCCGGGGCUUGCUCUCCGAGAGAUGCU